GGGUUGUGAGGUUAAGCGACUAAGCGUACACGGUGGAUGCCCUGGCAGUCAGAGGCGAUGAAGGACGUGCUAAUCUGCGAAAAGCGCCGGCGAGGUGAUAUGAACCUUUGACCCGGCGAUGUCCGAAUGGGGAAACCCAGUGCAAUCCGUUGCACUAUCGUUAACUGAAUACAUAGGUUAACGAGGCGAACCGGGGGAACUGAAACAUCUAAGUACCCCGAGGAAAAGAAAUCAACCGAGAUUCCCCCAGUAGCGGCGAGCGAACGGGGAGCAGCCCGGAGUCUGAAUCAGCUUGUGUGUUAGUGGAACGGUCUGGAAAGUCCGGCGAUACAGGGUGAUAGCCCCGUACACGAAAGCACACAUGCUGUGAACUCGAAGAGUAGGGCGGGACACGUGGUAUCCUGUCUGAAUAUGGGGGGACCAUCCUCCAAGGCUAAAUACUCCUGACUGACCGAUAGUGAACCAGUACCGUGAGGGAAAGGCGAAAAGAACCCCGGCGAGGGGAGUGAAAAAGAACCUGAAACCGUGUACGUACAAGCAGUGGGAGCCUCUUUAUGGGGUGACUGCGUACCUUUUGUAUAAUGGGUCAGCGACUUAUAUUCUGUAGCAAGGUUAACCGUAUAGGGGAGCCGAAGGGAAACCGAGUCUUAACUGGGCGUUAAGUUGCAGGGUAUAGACCCGAAACCCGGUGAUCUAGCCAUGGGCAGGUUGAAGGUUGGGUAACACUAACUGGAGGACCGAACCGACUAAUGUUGAAAAAUUAGCGGAUGACCUGUGGCUGGGGGUGAAAGGCCAAUCAAACCGGGAGAUAGCUGGUUCUCCCCGAAAGCUAUUUAGGUAGCGCCUCGUGAACUCAUCUUCGGGGGUAGAGCACUGUUUCGGCUAGGGGGCCAUCCCGGCUUACCAACCCGAUGCAAACUACGAAUACCGAAGAAUGUUAUCACGGGAGACACACGGCGGGUGCUAACGUCCGUCGUGAAGAGGGAAACAACCCAGACCGCCAGCUAAGGUCCCAAAGUCAUGGUUAAGUGGGAAACGAUGUGGGAAGGCACAGACAGCCAGGAUGUUGGCUUAGAAGCAGCCAUCAUUUAAAGAAAGCGUAAUAGCUCACUGGUCGAGUCGGCCUGCGCGGAAGAUGUAACGGGGCUAAACCAUGCACCGAAGCUGCGGCAGCGACACUAUGUGUUGUUGGGUAGGGGAGCGUUCUGUAAGCCGUUGAAGGUGUGCUGUGAGGCAUGCUGGAGGUAUCAGAAGUGCGAAUGCUGACAUAAGUAACGAUAAAGCGGGUGAAAAGCCCGCUCGCCGGAAGACCAAGGGUUCCUGUCCAACGUUAAUCGGGGCAGGGUGAGUCGACCCCUAAGGCGAGGCCGAAAGGCGUAGUCGAUGGGAAACAGGUUAAUAUUCCUGUACUUGGUGUUACUGCGAAGGGGGGACGGAGAAGGCUAUGUCAGCCGGGCGACGGUUGUCCCGGUUUAAGCAUGUAGGCGGAGGUUCCAGGUAAAUCCGGUACCUUGUUAACGCUGAGGUGUGAUGACGAGGCACUACGGUGCUGAAGUGAUAAAUGCCCUGCUUCCAGGAAAAGCCUCUAAGCAUCAGGUAACACGAAAUCGUACCCCAAACCGACACAGGUGGUCAGGUAGAGAAUACCAAGGCGCUUGAGAGAACUCGGGUGAAGGAACUAGGCAAAAUGGUGCCGUAACUUCGGGAGAAGGCACGCUGAUAUGUAGGUGAAGCCCCUGCGGGCGGAGCUGAAAUCAGUCGAAGAUACCAGCUGGCUGCAACUGUUUAUUAAAAACACAGCACUGUGCAAACACGAAAGUGGACGUAUACGGUGUGACGCCUGCCCGGUGCCGGAAGGUUAAUUGAUGGGGUUAGCGGCAACGCGAAGCUCUUGAUCGAAGCCCCGGUAAACGGCGGCCGUAACUAUAACGGUCCUAAGGUAGCGAAAUUCCUUGUCGGGUAAGUUCCGACCUGCACGAAUGGCGUAAUGAUGGCCAGGCUGUCUCCACCCGAGACUCAGUGAAAUUGAACUCGCUGUGAAGAUGCAGUGUACCCGCGGCAAGACGGAAAGACCCCGUGAACCUUUACUAUAGCUUGACACUGAACACUGGUCCUUGAUGUGUAGGAUAGGUGGGAGGCUUUGAAGCGUGGACGCCAGUCUGCGUGGAGCCAACCUUGAAAUACCACCCUUUAAUGGCUGGUGUUCUAACGUAGACCCGUAAUCCGGGUUGCGGACAGUGUCUGGUGGGUAGUUUGACUGGGGCGGUCUCCUCCCAAAGAGUAACGGAGGAGCACGAAGGUUGGCUAAUCCUGGUCGGACAUCAGGAGGUUAGUGCAAUGGCAUAAGCCAGCUUGACUGCGAGCGUGACGGCGCGAGCAGGUGCGAAAGCAGGUCAUAGUGAUCCGGUGGUUCUGAAUGGAAGGGCCAUCGCUCAACGGAUAAAAGGUACUCCGGGGAUAACAGGCUGAUACCGCCCAAGAGUUCAUAUCGACGGCGGUGUUUGGCACCUCGAUGUCGGCUCAUCACAUCCUGGGGCUGAAGUAGGUCCCAAGGGUAUGGCUGUUCGCCAUUUAAAGUGGUACGCGAGCUGGGUUUAGAACGUCGUGAGACAGUUCGGUCCCUAUCUGCCGUGGGCGCUGGAGAAUUGAGGGGGGCUGCUCCUAGUACGAGAGGACCGGAGUGGACGCAUCACUGGUGUUCGGGUUGUCAUGCCAAUGGCACUGCCCGGUAGCUAAAUGCGGAAGAGAUAAGUGCUGAAAGCAUCUAAGCACGAAACUUGCCCCGAGAUGAGUUCUCCCUGAGACCUUGAGUCUCCUGAAGGAACGUUGAAGACUACGACGUUGAUAGGUCGGGUGUGUAAGCGCAGCGAUGCGUUGAGCUAACCGAUACUAAUGAACCGUGAGGCUUAACCUUACAACGCCGAAGCUGUU
rnacentral:rRNA from 1 species